rnacentral:lncRNA from 1 species
AGUGCAAUGUGUGACACAACAGUGCUGAGUGUGACACAACAGUGCUGUGUGUGACACAACAGUGCUGAGUGUGACACAACAGUGCUGUGUGUGACACAACAGUGCAAUGUGUGACACAACAGUGCAAUGUGUGACACAACAGUGCUGAGUGUGACACAACAGUGCAAUGUGUGACACAACAGUGCUGAGUGUGACACAACAGUGCAAUGUGUGACACAACAGUGCUGAGUGUGACACAACAGUGCUGAGUGUGACACAACAGUGCUGAGUG